rnacentral:rRNA from 1 species
AGCAGCCGCGGUAAUUCCAGCUCCAAUAGCGUAUAUUAAAGUUGUUGCAGUUAAAAAGCUCGUAGUUGAAUUUCGGGAUUAGUGCGCUGGUCAUGCCUUUGGUAUGUACUGGUGUUACUGAUUUCUACCUUCUGAAGAACCGUUAUGUCAUUUAUUUGGUGUGGCGGGGAAUCAGGACUGUUACUUUGAAGAAAUUAGAGUGUUUAAAGCAGGCUCGCGCUUGAAUACAUUAGCAUGGAAUAAUGAAAUAGGACGUUUGACCCUAUUUUGUUGGUUUCUAGGAUCGACGUAAUGAUUAAUAGGGAUAGUUGGGGCAUUAGUAUUCGAUUGUCAGAGGUGAAAUUCUUGG